AGAGUUUGAUCAUGGCUCAGAAUCAACGCUGGCGGCGUGCCUCAGACAUGCAAGUCGAACGCGAAAGUCCCCUUCGGGGGGCAAGUAGAGUGGCGCACGGGUGAGUAACACGUAGGUAAUCUACCUUUGGAUGGGGAAUAACAAUCGGAAACGAUUGCUAAUACCGCAUAAUGCAGCGGCACCUAAUGGUGACAGUUGUUAAAGCGGGGGAUCGAAAGACCUCGCGUCUAAAGAGGAGCCUGCGGCGGAUUAGCUAGUUGGUAAGGUAAUGGCUUACCAAGGCAACGAUCCGUAACCGGCCUGAGAGGGCGGUCGGUCACACUGACACUGACAUACGGGUCAGACUCCUACGGGAGGCAGCAGUCGGGAAUUUUGGGCAAUGGGCGAAAGCCUGACCCAGCAACGCCGCGUGAAGGAUGAAAUCCCUCGGGAUGUAAACUUCGCAAGAACGGGAAGAAUAAGUAGGGGACAAUACCCCCUAUGAUGACGGUACCGUUUGUAAGCUCCGGCUAACUCCGUGCCAGCAGCCGCGGUAAUACGGGGGGAGCAAGCGUUGUUCGGAUUUACU
rnacentral:rRNA from 1 species